UGAUUUUGCAGCCCACUUUUUAAGCCGAUUUGGGGCCAGCCAUCAGGAAGCUCCAGGAGAUGUAUUUUGUAGAUCCAGACCUAGUUUCUAGGCUCUGGAUUAUUCUUCUGACAAGCUGUGUAUCCAGCUAGCACUCAGAGCAGCAUGAAGACUCUCCUAAGUAGCAGAAUAAAGAAAGGUGUGCAGAAAGAGGGGAAUUUAGACCACAGUGAUCACUACACUGCUGUGCCUUGUAGACACAAUACUUAAAGAUGAAAAAUUUCAGAUGGGGCUUCAACUCCUUUGAGUCAAUACAGGUUUGAAGGACUAGUUAGGGACAACCCCACUUGCCCUCCCCGUCCUGAAAAAAAAGAAAAGGACUGAAAAGAUACUAUGUUGUAUAGUAUACCCACUUAUACCCACUUAUACCCAUUUAUUAAAAUAAUUGCAGUGAACAUUACCAAUAGCAUUAAUCUAAGUUCAUAUGAAGAUCUAAGCUUCACUUGGCAUUAUUUUUUAACUUUUUCAUGGUCACCAGAAGAGAAACAUAAGCUAAUUUGGAAGAGGAAAUAUGUGCUCGAAAGCAUAACUGGGCAUGAUGUGUUCUUGUUAAGAUGCAUCUUCUUUUCACAUAAAAAUAUUGCAACCAGUCCACAAGCAAUAUCAACAAGUUUCAUGCCAUUAACAACCGAAGUCAGUCAUGACUAUGUAUUGACUAUUUUUAGGACGUUUAAUGAAAUAUAAGAAAUUACAACUAUAUUUUUGUGCACAAGUAUAAGCUGAUAAGGUUUUAACAGGUUUGGGGGACUUCAAGAGGGAAAAUGAGGGGGAUUAAGGGGUAAAUUUUGUGAUAUCUUCAAAGUAUAAGGAGUUCAGUGAAGAAUAGGACAAAGCAGUAUAAUCUGUGCGGUGUCAAGAGUUGGACUUGAUGAUCCUUAAGGGUCCCUUCCAACUCAGGAUAUUCUAUGAUUCUAUGAUUCUAUGAAUCGUACAUGGGAGGAUGUAAAGGGUUAAGCUAUAAAUAGUAACAUCAUUAGUCCUGUGUUUAUUAUGAACUCAACCUAGUUUCCUGCUAACAAACUAUUUUCUCUUCUCAGUAUAAACAGGCUACUACUAAAAAAAAAAUCCCCAACGCCACAGACGUAAACAUUAACUUAACCUGCAUUAAUGUUUAUCAGAGUUCCACAUGUAAAAUAAUCCUAUUAAAGCAGCUGAGGAAAUAGAUUAGUAGACAUGCAUGCAACAUUAAAUAAUUCUGUAAAUUUUCUUGUCUCAUGUCUCACAAAAUGAAUUCCUAAAUGAUGGAGUCUAAACAUUUCCAUAGUCCAACAGACAGGAUUCUUCUUAGUGUCAGUAAAUUCCAUUUUAGAAGGUUUUAUUUAUUUAUUGGUAAUUUAGAUUAUAAAGGUUACUUAGGAAUUAAGGUUGUUGUAAGAGCAAAGCUGAAACUGUUCUACCUGAAGAAAGAAAAUACAGCAACACAGAAGUAUAUACUUUACAUUGGUAGAUGUCACUUGUUAAAACUUAUUAGUGCUUUAUGAAAACUGGCUGCCUUUUCCUGCAGGCGAACUAGAUAAUAAAAUUUAUCUGAGUGAAUGUGGAUAGCUCUACCUGAACUAGUCACUUUAAGCUUUCUUUAUAAUCAGUGAAGAUAAACAGGCUUUCCGAGUGUGUGAAAGUUGCCAUCUUGUAAGAGGUCUAAAAGAAAUUAGCUAACUCAUCUGAAAACCUCUUUUUCUCUCUUUUGUCUAUAAGGUUCUUUGGUGGAUAGCUAUGAUGUAGAAGUAGACACUGUAGACAUACAAACUGAAGAGUUGAUUACAGCCUGGGAAUGGAAUCCUUAAUUUAGAAAAAAUCAUGACAAAUAUUUUGAUAACUUCAAUAUCAACAGAAUGUAAAAGUGUGCUCUGAAAGGGACAUAUACACUAUAUGGAAGGUAGCUAAGAUUAACAAUUGUUUUUAUAUUUCUAAUUUUCCACCCACACAAUGGAUGUAACAACCAAACUUCGAUUAUGUGUUCAUUGGUAGGGAGACAAUCUUUCUAUUACAUUAAAGCCCAUAUAACAGAUAUAUGGAGUUUUUGUUUUUCAAAUAAUUGUGAAAAAAGAGAAACCUCUUCCAACAUUAUUUAUUCAAAGAAUGCCAGUGGGCAUUUUCAAAGAGAUGAGUCAAAGCUAAAAUGUGAUAGCUAUCUAUAGUAGUUACCAACAUUUGCUACAUAUGUUGAUGACAAAAGAAGAUUUAUCACCAUAAUUAGGAAGGGAGAAGAAAGUCCACUUGCUGUAAGAUAGACGAAGAAAAGAUAAUAACUGAAUAACUGUGGUGACCACAUUUUGUCAAGUAAAUAGUGUUUUCAGACAAUUAAAUAUGUAUUUAUUUUUUAUAGUUUUGUAUUUUCAGAAUUUGUUCUCUCUUCCAGAAUUGUUUGUGCAAUUAUGUUGUCAGUUAUCAGUUUGAUCACGUAUUUGUCAUUUUCCACAGUAAUGUUUAAACCUAGCACUUAGUUUCAACUAAUUCCAUUCACCUCAUUUGUAUUUAAAAUUUUAAUGCAAACCAACCAAACAAUCAAACAAAAAGACCAACACAACAACUUUUUUGGUCUUAAAUAACUUUCAGUUAGAUAUUGAAAGUGGAAAAAAUUUGUGCCCUUUACAAGAAAGCUAGUAAAAGACUGAAACUUGAGGUAAAUUUGCUGAAAUUUUGUGGCAAUAUUUGGGAAAUGACAGAUCACAUAUACCUGUUCAAAGUUACCAAACUUUUUAGUAGACUAAUGAAAAGAGGUGUUCCUACUCACAGAAUCACAGAAUCACAGAAUUUCUAGGUUGGAAGAGACCUCAAGAUCAUCGAGUCCAACCUCUGACCUAACGCUAACAGUCCCCACUAAAC